rnacentral:lncRNA from 1 species
CCCGGCACGGCUGUCAUUUUGUAAACACUAAUUUCUUUGAUGGGAAUGACAAAUAAAAUCUUCCCUCCUCGUCUUCAUUUUUUACGUCCAGAGGCGGCGCUCGUCACUUCCUCUUGAACUCUCAAUGAGGGAGAGCUCGGUUAGUUGUUUUGGAAAGUUUGUAGUUUUGGAAAUUUUUGGAAGUCUGUAGAAAAAGUUUGGUUACUAGCUAUCUACCUUUUGAAUUUGGAUCCCACGCUGCGGUUGGCAUCAGUUGCUGGGACCGCUACUGUCUGUCCAGUGAUCCUGCCAACCAAGGCCAGGUCUGAGGAGCUGUUUGUUGUAACAGCUAGCCUAGCUGCUAGCUAGCAGCCUAUCAAGCUAGCAGGGCUUUCUUGAGGGCUUGAACGCAGCCCGCAACGCACUUAGCCAUUGUGGCUAGGACCACGUAUUGUCCUGAGCUUGUGGCUGUCUAGAUCCCUGCUGUUUGUUGUUGUUGUUUUCAAUCAUCCCUGUGACCUGCCCUGUCUGGAACUGCGAGGAGUAACAGCGUAACUUAAGUUGCUACCAUGACAAAGACCAAAGCCAGCGGGAGUACCGUUGAGGACAAUGGUGUCUCUAUCACAGGUGAAGUAUCUUUUAAACAAACAAAAACGGUUCUACAAGCAGUUGUUACAACAACAAGAAAAUAGCUUCAAGUGUUUUAUUGAAAUACUGUUGGGAGUCAACUAUUACAAGAAUGGACAACCUGACCAGAGAGGUCCAGGACCUGAAGAACAGAUUGCAGUUCUCCCAGGAUCAGUUCAAGAAGUUUAAACGUGAGAAGGCAAGAUGACAGCAAUCUGUAAGUCAUUGAGAGAGGAUGUCAGUUCUGUAUGUGAAUCCAUGAUAAAAAUGGCAGAGAAAUCUGAUUAUCUCGAGGGACAGUCAGCCCCCUCCUGUACUCCCUUUUCACCCAUGACUGUGUGGCCAUGCACACCUCCAACUCAAUCAUCAAGUUGGCAGAUGACACAACAGUAGUAGGCUUGAUCACCAACAACGACGAGGGAGGAGGUGAGGGCACUCAAAGUGGAGUGUCAGGAAAAUAAAAUCUCACUCAACAUCAACAAAACAAAGGAGAUGAUCGUGGACUUUAGGAAACAGCAGAGGGAGUGCUCCACAUCGACGGGACAGCAGUGGAGAAGGUGGAAAGUUUUAAGUUCCUCGGCAUACCCAUCACGGACAAACUGAAAUGGUCCACCCACACAGACAGUGUGGUGAAGAAGGCGCAACAGUGCCUCUUCAACCUCAGGAGGCUGAAGAAAUUUGGCUUGUCACCUAAAACCCUCACAGACUUUUACAGAGGCACAAUUGAGAGCAUCCUGUCGGGCUGUAUCACUGCCUGGUACGGCAAAUGCACCACCCACAACCGCAGGGCUCUCCAGAGGGUGGUGUAGUCUGCACAACACUUCACCGGGGGCAAACUACCUGCCCUCCAGGACACCUACAGCACCUGUUGUCACAGGAAGGCCAAAAAGACCACCCGAGCCACUGCCUGUUCACCACGCUACCAUCCAGAAGGCGAGGCGGAACAACAUGGUUGUGGACAGAAUUGCAGAAUCUCCACAUGAGACCUGGACGGAGUCUGAAGACAAAGUGAGGGAAAUUAUCUCUGAGAAACUGAAGAUGGACAGCAGAUUGAGGUGGAGCACGCCCACAGGACUGGUAAACCCACCACCGGCCCAGGUAACAGUCCCAGGCCGAUAGUGGUCAAGUUCCUGAGGUUCAAGGACAAGGUAGCUAGUCUGGAAAGAGCCAAGAACUUGAGUGGAAUGUAUAUCUUCCUCAAUGAGGGCUACUCGGAAGCUGUGCACCAGAAGAGGAAAGAACUUACUGCCAGAGCGCAUGGGGACAUUGCUUACAUCGGCUAUGACAGGCUCAUUGUCUACCCUCCCUCUCAAAUGCCUAGAAGGUAUGAGAGAGCCAAGCCUAUGGGUUCAGAGCUUCAACCCAACAGCAUACACACAUACACACACCAACUGAUUAAUGGACUGCUGAAUGUACAGUAUAUAUAUUUUUUAAUUGCUUUGUUUGCUCUUUUCCAUAAUAUGUCUAUCUCUGUUAAGCUACCCAGGAAAUGGCUGAAAAUAGAGCACAUAUUAAUAUAUGUAGCCUUAGAAAUAAGGUUAAUGAAAUCAAUAACUUGCUAACAUCAGAUAACAUUCAUAUAUUAUACAUUUUUGAGACUCACUUAGAUAAUUCAUUUGAUGAUACAGCAGUAGCAAUACAAGGACAUAACACCUAUAGAAGAGAUAGGAAUGCUUACGCGGGAGAUGUUGCUGUAUAUACUCAGAGCCUUAUCCCUGUAAUGCUUAGGGAAGAUCUUAUGUCAAGUGUUAUUAAAUUGUUGUGGUUGCAGGUGCACCUGGCACAUCCAAAGCCUUUUAUUUUGGGGUGUUGCUAUUGGCCACCAAGUACUAACAGUCAUUAUCUACACUGAACAAAAAUAUAAACGCAACUUGUAAAGUGUUGGUCCCAUGUUUCAUGAACUGAAAUAAAAGAUCCAAGAAAUGUUCCAUAUGCACAAAAAUACUAUUUCUCUCUAAUUUUGUGCAGAAAUGUGUUUACAUCCCUGUUAGUGAGCAUUUUGGCCUUUGUCAAGAUAAUCAAUUUCUGUCAGUAAUAAAGCCCUUUUGUGGGGAAAAACUCAUUCUGAUUGGCUGGGCCUGGCUCCCCAGUGGGUCGACCUGCUCCCAAAUGGGUGGGCCUAUGCCCUACCAGGCCCACCCAUGGCUGCGGCCCUGCCCAGUCAUGUGAAAUCCAUAUAUUAGGCCCUAAUUAAUUAAUUUAAAUUGACUGAUUUCCUUAUAUGAACUGUAACUCAGCAAAAUCUUUGAAUUUGUUGCAUGUUGCUUGUAUAUUUUUGUUCAAAAUAAAUAAGUGGUGAC